rnacentral:lncRNA from 1 species
ACACCUUUGCCUUUACAGUGUGACAGCCACAGGUAGCAUAGAGAUGAAAAUGUGACCUUUUAAAUAAAAUUUUAUUUACAGAAACAAGCAACAGGCCAGUUUUUACCUGUGGGCCAUUCCCCAGCCCUGUCCUUGAGGGAAAAAAAGCCAGACAUCUUAAGCUGUAAAUUCUUGUGCAUGUUAAUAUAAUCAACAAUAGCUGUAUCUCAGCAGCCAUCUAGAGGCAGUAUGACGAGUCACUGGUGUCCUUCAGAAGAUGGCUGUGCAACAGUCACAGGGAAGCAUUUGUUACGUUCAGCACAUCCAUCAUUUGAGAUGUCACUUAUCUAGCCACCAAGAAAUCUAUAAAAGAAAGGUAUCAGGACUGGGAAUUUUGCUUAAGUUCUUAUUUUUAAGUAGGACUCCUUUAUCUUUUGUUUCUCAGUGGCCUCGUGGGCCAAAAACCAGCCUUUUUUUUUUUUUAACUCAGCCACAUGUUUUUCAAGAUUGCAUUUGUCAGUUACGUUUUUCUGUUAGGUUUUUGUCUUCUGAUGCUUAACAGACUUACCCUUCUUUACAAGUGAGUUUAAAGAUUAACAUACUAUAACUUCACAGUGUCAGAUUUCUCUGUGAUGUUUAAAGCUGACUAGACCAAUGAGUGUAUUUUUUACAUUGUCACUCUUAAUAAGAAACAUGCGUCUUCUUUCUCUGUCUGAAUGUUCACUAUGGAGUGUUUAGCUACCUUAGGGCCUGCCAUGGGAGUGAUGCUCUCAUGAGCACCUGCGAGUCUGAAUUGAUUGAAGGUACACACCACUGAACAUGCUCAUUCACACUGCUCCAUUCAUGGUAUCUCAGCAAUAACACUAUCUUUACAGGAUUGUUAAAUAGCUACGAAAACUACCGCCUACUUAAGUAGUUACACCUUCUUUUAAAAUUGGAGUGCAGUCCUGGCUUUAUCAGUAUUGAUGUUUUGUCUGUUACACCCUCUCACCUCCUGCCUGUCACCCAUGUUAUGUCAACACUGUCAUAUUUAUACAUGGCUUUUCCCCUAGGAUCCUCAAUCCUUCAGACCUAAACACAAUUUCAGGUUUUGACCAUUUGACAGUAGAAAAUGUCUAUGCAUGUUUUCAAUCCUUACAAACCUGUGAAGUUUUAUUUCUUAAUCCAUGUACUGAACUUUCUGUCCAGGUGAACAAGAUGCUUCCCAGAAAAGCUUUUCCCACUUCUAUCUAAAGCAGCUCAUGUCUUUAAGACAAAGAAGUGCGCGGUUGUUUUGUAAGGUAUAAACACAUACAUGGGUGUAUGUAUGUAUGUAUGUAUGUAUAUAUUUCCUCUGGGGUUUUUUUAAUUAUAAAUUUUCAACCUUCUGUGAAAUACUCACAAAUGGUCAAAUACUGCAGACAGGGUAUACCCUCGCUGUCAGGUCUUCUAUUCCUCCCAACUGUAGCUUUUUGCCAGUAGAGAAUUUCCUUACUCAUCCUUCAAGCUUUUCUUACAGGAAAAAUAAAGUAAUGAAUAUGUUUAGAUCAACCAUUUUAUAAACAUAUUAUUCUGUUUAUCACUAUCUGUUCUGUAUGUUUCUGUAUAGAACUUUUACAAUUCCCAAAACAGUGGAAAUAGCUAUAUGAUUCUGCCAUAGAGGGGGAGAUUCUAAGAUAUCCAUCUUUCUUGUGGCAGGUGGUUGUUACAUGAAAAAAUAGAUCUCAUAUGAUGGCAUAGAUUCUAAAUAAACAAAGCAUUUCCUUUUCUGUUCCCCUGGCUUUCUCAGAUUCUGUGAUUAGUGACAUUGGGCUACACAUGUUCAGCAUUGAUGUAAAUGUUAGAGCCACAAUUAAUUCCUAUUAAACUGAAAUUAAAUGUCAAAAAUUAGUCAUGAC